rnacentral:piRNA from 1 species
UACCAAGUUGGGAUUAAUUUU